CCCCUCCACGUAAUCACUCUUCUGUGAAUAAAACCUGAAACAUUCCAGCACAUUUUCCUAAAAAACAAACAAACAAAAAACUGCCUUCCUUGAGACGUUCCAAAGCACUCAUCUCCUUGGUUCUGCACGCCCACUUCAUCGACUUACGUAAGAGAGCCACUGAGUCAAAGGAGAAAGAUUUCAGCCCAGGACAAGGGAGGCCUGUGAAGCCAUCCAGCCUGGAGAAGAAAAUCUCGGGAGGUCAGGAGCGCUCCGAUUCAAGGCAUGAAAGACGGAACCAGUGGCAAAAGAUCUCUCUGCAUCAUCAUUUGCAAGUUAUCUAAAAUGUCAAAG